AUACGGAGGAUCCGAGCGUUAUCCGGAUUUAUUGGGUUUAAAGGGUGCGCAGGCGGGAGAUUAAGUCGGCGGUGAAAUUUUGCAGCUCAACUGUAAAAGUGCCUUCGAAACUGGUUUCCUUGAGUGUAGAUGAAGUAGGCGGAAUUUGUGGUGUAGCGGUGAAAUGCAUAGAUAUCACGAGGAACUCCGAUUGCGCAGGCAGCUUACUAAACUACUACUGACGCUCAGGCACGAAGGCGUGGGGAUCAAACAGGAUUAGAUACCCUGGUAGUCCACGCAGUAAACGAUGAUUACUAGCUGUUUGCGAUACACAGCAAGCGGCUUAGCGAAAGCGUUAAGUAAUCCACCUGGGGAGUACGUUCGCAAGAAUGAAACUCAAAUGAAUUGACGGGG
rnacentral:rRNA from 1 species